rnacentral:pre_miRNA from 1 species
UUCGUCCCGGAGUUCGUAUCAGGAGUGCGUUUGCAAAGAAUACGACCAAUUUGCGUUAUUGCAAAAUUGAUACUGUAAAUGCACUAUCUGGUACGACACCCCGGGGCGU